UAAUUGAAGAGUUUGAUCAUGGCUCAGAUUGAACGCUGGCGGCAGGCCUAACACAUGCAAGUCGAGCGGAAACAGGAAGGUGCUUGCACCUUUGCUGUCGAGCGGCGGACGGGUGAGUAAUGCCUAGGGAACUGCCCAGUCGAGGGGGAUAACAGUUGGAAACGACUGCUAAUACCGCAUACGCCCUACGGGGGAAAGGAGGGGACGCGCUUUUCGAAGUACGCCUUUCGCGAUUGGAUGUACCUAGGUGGGAUUAGCUAGUUGGUAAGGUAAUGGCUUACCAAGGCGACGAUCCCUAGCUGGUCUGAGAGGAUGAUCAGCCACACUGGAACUGAGACACGGUCCAGACUCCUACGGGAGGCAGCAGUGGGGAAUAUUGCACAAUGGGCGCAAGCCUGAUGCAGCCAUGCCGCGUGUGUGAAGAAGCCUUCGGGUUGUAAAGCACUUUCAGCGAGGAGGAAAGGUUGUAGUUUAAUAAACUGUAGCUGUGACGUUACUCGCAGAAGAAGCACCGGCUAACUUCGUGCCAGCAGCCGCGGUAAUACGAGGGGUGCAAGCGUUAAUCGGAAUUACUGGGCGU
rnacentral:ncRNA from 1 species